GAUGAAUGCUGGCGGCGUGCUUAACACAUGCAAGUCGAACGAAGCACUUUAUUUGAUUUCCUUCAGGACUGAUUAUUUUGUGACUGAGUGGCGGACGGGUGAGUAACGCGUGGGUAACCUGCCUUGUACAGGGGGAUAACAGUUGGAAACGGCUGCUAAUACCGCAUAAGCGCACGGCAUCGCAUGAUGCAGUGUGAAAAACUCCGGUGGUAUAAGAUGGACCCGCGUUGGAUUAGCUAGUUGGUGGGGUAACGGCCCACCAAGGCGACGAUCCGUAGCCGACCUGAGAGGGUGACCGGCCACAUUGGGACUGAGACACGGCCCAAACUCCUACGGGAGGCAGCAGUGGGGAAUAUUGCACAAUGGGCGAAAGCCUGAUGCAGCGACGCCGCGUGAGCGAAGAAGUAUUUCGGUAUGUAAAGCUCUAUCAGCAGGGAAGAUAAUGACG
rnacentral:rRNA from 1 species